rnacentral:rRNA from 1 species
UACGUAGGGGGGCUAGCGUUGUCCGGAAUCAUUGGGCGUAAAGCGCGUGUAGGCGGUCCGGUAAGUCCGCUGUGAAAGUCGGGGGCUCAACCCUCGAAAGCCGGUGGAUACUGUCGGGCUCGAGUACGGAAGAGGCGAGUGGAAUUCCUGGUGUAGCGGUGAAAUGCGCAGAUAUCAGGAAGAACACCCGUGGCGGAAGGCGGCUCUCUGGGACGGUACUGACGCUGAGACGCGAAAGCGUGGGGAGCGAACAGG